UAUUUCCAUCAGAGUACCUCAGCGCUUCUGCACUGAUGUUGAAAUUUUUCUCUGCCACACUCUAAAGGAACACAAGGAGCAGCAUUUAAUGUUGCUAAAGAACGCUCCUCAUUCCUCAGGGUCCACUGAGGUUUGACAGAAGGAUGCAGUCUACACAGUUCUGAGAAGUAUGGGAAAGACUUUCAAUUACUUGAAGAUUCUCCUGGAGCUGAUGCUGAGAUCGGGUCAUCGGCUGCAGGUGUGGUACUGCCAGACCUGCAUCAUUACCAGGAUGCUUAAGAAGAACAGGAUGCCGACCAUUCUCUGCUGGAGCGUUAACCAUAUUGGUAACUGCUCCCGUACGAGCCUUUGGGUCUAGACUCUAGAGCCUUCUCUCAGAGAAGCAGAACAGACUGGAACCGCUCCUCCUUGCACAAUCUGUCCAUCCAGCAGCUGCCGUUGAACCUCACAACUUAGCCACAGCCUUGGAUCCCUCUCACCUCUCGCUGGUAGAUGAAUCUCACUCACACAUUGAACCGCUGUUUUCUAAUCUACCUUCCUCUGCCCUUCAUGCUGUUGGUUAAUAAAUUUGUGUCUUUGAGGGUUAAUCUCUGUACAUGGGUCAGAAGCCUGAACAGAAACAUAUAUAAAUCAAAUAGUUUAAUAAAACCCUCAUUAUUUUAGUUUGUGAUAUCCUAUUCUUUUGAGUUGCUUAACGUUUUUCAAUUAAAAGAAAACACCUUCAAUUGAAUUAAAGGGUAAAACUUGUUCUUUAAAAUAAAAUGUCUAAAUGUUUCUGUAUUUUAUCUGUAGGUUUCAGAAAAAGAAAAAAAACAUUAAAUGUAUUCAGUUCAAAAACUAAAACAAACAAAAACAAAGCCCAGGUUAAGUUUUGAAGGAACAGAACUAAUGCAUCCUCCUACAGUAUUGCCCUCUGUCCUAAAGAAGUCAUACAAAAAGCCACCUUGCAUUUCAUACUGCUUAACUCCACCUCUUACUGAACCUGUAACUCUAACACAACCCAAACAUUCACUGAGCAGCCAAGUAGUCUUACCCUGUAAGCUUGAAACUCUGCAGUUUCCUAGUAACCUCAUAUUUAGGUGAUGUCACUCGCUUUCUGUCCAAACUGUUGUAAUGUAGACUCUGUUCUAAUGUGGCUAAUUUGAUAGGUUGAAAGCAUGCUUUGAAAAUAACAUUUAUACAGGAGUGAAACACUUUUUCUUUUAAUUAAGCCCUUAUUUGUAUGUAUGGAAAAUUUUUCUUUGUUAGUGUGAUGUACAUUUUUACUGUGAAAUUUUUUGAUUUGCUUUAAGCAGAAAACCAUCUUGAUUAACAAAAAUAA